AUGUUCAGAAUGACCACGUGAAAAAAAUGGCAGCCAACCAAGAUAGUGAAUCGAAACAAUAUUGGAGCACUAUGCCACCUAAUGCAGUGGUUCUCAUUCUCAAUAUUAUCUAGUGAAACACAAAAAAUAUCUGGCUCAUUGGUACCUAAUAAGGGCCAACAUUAACUCAUUGGCUGCCACGUGACGGCAUUACAGUGGUAUGAAAAAGAAUCUGAACCUUUUGGAAUUUCUCACAUUUCUGCAUAAAAUCAUCAAAUGUGAUCUGAUCUUUGUCAAAAGCACACAGAUGAAAAAACAGUGUCUGCUUUAACUAAAACCACCCAAACAUUUAUAGGUUUUCAUAUUUUAAUGAGGAUUAUAUGCAAACAAUGACAGAAGAGGGAAAAUAAAUAAGUAAGUUUUUUUUUUUUUUUUUUUUUGCCGUAUUGCUGUAAGGCAAGGCAAAUUUAUUUUUAUAUCACAAUUCAACACAAGGCAAUUCAAAGUGUUUUACAUCACAUGAAGAUCAUAAAAAUCACAUUUAAAUCAGUACAACGUAAAAACCAGGACAAUCAAAAUAGGAAAUAAAAUAAUACAAAAAAAUUGCAUUUAAUCACAAAUAGAAUAAAAAUAAAUAAAAAUAAAACAAAAACUACUAAAUAAUAAUUGAAAUCAGCAAUGGAGAUAAGCACAAGAAGAAUAGAAAGCAAGUAGAUUGAGAUAUAUAGACCAGGGGUCAUGAAUUAAAAAUCUUCUGGGUCCGAAAUGAAAAAAUUACAACAAUCUCGGGUCCGGAAAUAUUUUUAAUGCUUCUUUUUUUCCCAAAAAUACAAACGUAUCCUUACGUGGCCAUGCUGAUAAUUACAACAUUCAAAAAUGUAAAAAAAAAUAUAUAAAAAAUAAAUUUAUAGUAAGUAAUAAAUAAUAUUUAAUGAUAAUUAAUUAGUAAUAAAUAAUAAAGCGAUCAUAUUGAGCCCUUAAUUCCGCUAUUUCUUGAGAACAGAUGGCAGAGUUCACAGGGAAACUUUGUGAAGAAGCUGUGUGCUUCGUCUCAUAGUGCCUUUUCAAAUUGCUGCUUUAUACAAGCGCUACCAUUGUUCGGCCAUUCCCUAUUGAAAAAACGUCUACACAACGCUCAGCGCGCUUGCGCAAGCAUCCGCACGCAUGCGCACAUCGGUCAGAAGCGGCGAGUACUCACAAUUUUUGUUUUUAUUUAGUUUUUUUAGAACCUUUUUGUGAUGGUUUGUUCAAUUGUAUUUGUCAAAUAAUGACCUCUGGUGGCGGCUUUGGGUGUAGUUGAAUUCCUGCCUUUCUUUUCCUAUGAAGCAGACGUGUCUAACAAUGCUAAAGGACAGCUACGUUCUGGUUCGACCCACAUGAGGCUGUAAGUUGUUUCAAUGAAUGUAUGUUGGUGUGUGUAUUUGUCGUUAAGCGGGGAGAUAUUGUUUGUAUAGUUAUAUUUAGCGUUUUACGAGGAGAGAAGGGAGAACACGUUAGCAUUUUUAGCAUCAAAGCUAGCGGACUUUUGUAUACAAAUGGUGCAGAUUUAAUUUACUAAAUGUAUAUAUUGAUUGAAUGGAAGGGACAUUUGGCGACUUUGUUUUGUGUGAAAUAUUUAGUAUUGAUAUGUACGUCAUUUUCAACAUUUUUGUAUGUGUGUUUUCAGUUUUACGAAUUCAUCAAGAGUGAGGAAGUAAAGACUUCAAAAUCCACUUUUGCCUCGUUGUGCUGUCUGUCUAGCUAAACAGGCUCACGUUUAGUGAGGACAGAACAGUAAAAAGCCUCAUUAUCAACAGUUGGAGCCAGAAGCUGUUACUCCAAGCAUAAAGACAUAAUGUUGAAGCAAGUGGACGCUCAAUCGCAAAGUCAGCAGAGAAGCUGCUCACCAAGUAGUCAAGGUGAGUUAUGGGAAACAAGGUCUCGUUGCUCCAGAUCCUCAAAGCAGUCUACAAGGUCAUCAGCAAGCGUUGCAGCCCUCAAAGCGCGAGCCAAAGCUGGGGCUGCACAAGCGCAGUUGGCUUUUGCAGAAGAGGAAGCUGAAGCCAUGAAGCAACAGGCUCAAAUCCAAGCUCAACUUCAUGUACUGAAGGUGAAGAAGGAGGCAGCAGCUGCAUCAGCAGAAGCGGACAUCCUGGAAGCAGCAAUUCAGCAGGAAGAAGCACAACCACUUUGUCAUCCAUCAUCCAUCGACUUUGUGGACUCUAAACAAAAGGUUCAAAAUUAUAUCGACAGUCAAGUAAUCCAGCCAGUACAACACCCAGUCCCAUGCUGGAACCCCUUCCACCAAAUUGACAACUCAAGCAUUCAACCUCAACCAUUACCUCAACAAAAUUCCCACACUUUCAACUGCAUAUCAUCACCUAUACCUGGCGCUACAUCUCCAGCUCCAAUUCACCAGUAUCAGCCCCUCAGUUCAUCUCUUCCCCACCCUCAGCAGAAAACAAAUGUAAGUGAUGUAGCAAAAUAUCUGAUGAGACGUGAACUUGUAACAGGCACCAUGCAGAGAUUCGACGAUGAUCCACAAAAUUAUCGCAGCUGGAAAUCAUCUUUUGUGAACAUCACUAAAGACCUAGCUCUGUCAGACAAAGAAGAGCUAGAUCUUCUACUCAAAUGGCUUGGGCCCAAGUCAACUGAACAAGCAAAGAGAAUCAGUGCAGCUCAAGUCAAUAACACAACUUCUGCGCUCAAAAUGGUUUGGCAGCGACUAGAAGAAACGUUUGGUGCACCUGAGGUAAUUGAGCAUGCCCUCUUUAAGAAAAUUGAGGACUUUCCUAGAAUUGCGUCUAGAGAAAAUACUAAGCUAAGAGAGCUGGGGGAUCUCUUAAUGGAACUUGAACUUACAAAAGCAGAAGGUCAUUCUCCAGGGUUAGCCUUUCUAGACACCGCCAGGGGUGUCAAUCCCAUUUUGGAGAAGUUGCCAUAUUCACUACAAGAAAAGUGGAUUUCACAUGCAUCUAAAUACAAACUAGAUCAUGGUGUCAUAUUUCCACCAUUUUCAGUCUGUUCUAGAUUUGUGCAAGAGCAAGCACGCAUAAGAAAUGACCCAAGUUUUUCAUUUCUUUCAGCAACUCAGUUCAAGUUUGAUAAACAAGUUAAAAGCAGCACUCGCCCAAUGAUAUCCGUGAAAAAGACUGAAAUUGCUGUAGACACUGAGUUAAAAGAGGUAUGUGAAGAGCCAGACAAACAAUGUCCGUUGCAUAACAAGCCACACCCCCUCAGAAGAUGUCGCACUUUUCUCACCAAGCCUCUUGAUGAGAGAAAGGCGUACCUGAAAGAGAAAGGCAUAUGCUUCAGGUGCUGUGCGUCAACCAAACACCAAGCGAAAGACUGUACUAUUAAAGUCACAUGCAAAGAAUGUCAGAGUGAAAGACACAAUACAGCUCUUCAUCCAGGUCCUCCUUCAACCGACAUCAAACCGUCUUCAGAGGCGCGUCAGCACGGCGGGGAGACCGAGUCAAGUCUACAACCCGUUUCCGCUACCACAAUGUGCACCGAGGUAUGUGGGGAACAACGUAGUCCUAGAUCUUGUGCGAAGAUAUGUUUAGCUAAAGUUUAUCCAGCAGGCCAACGAGAAAAGGCUAUAAACUUGUAUGCUGUCAUGGACGAACAAAGUAACCAAUCCCUUGCUCGUUCAGACUUUUUUGACAUCUUCAGAGUAUACGGAAGCAGAGAGAUUUAUACUCUGAAGACAUGUUCAGGUGUCAUGGAAGUGAGCGGGAGGAAAGCCAAAGACUUUAUUAUUGAGUCAAUAGAUGGUCGUGUAAAAGUGCCACUUCCUCCUAUGCUAGAAUGUGACAUGAUCCCAGAAGAUCGUUCUGAGAUACCUGCACCAGAAGUCACACAACACCAUCCACAUUUAAAGGCACUCUCACACAAAAUCAGUCCUGUAGAUCCAAACGCACAGAUCCUCUUGCUGCUCGGUAGAGACAUCCUGAGGUUGCACAAAGUGAGAGAGCAAUGUAAUGGUCCCAGUAAUGCACCAUUCGCGCAGCGCCUUGACCUAGGCUGGGUCAUCGUGGGUGAUGUAUGUGUAAGUGGAGUGCACAAACCAGUCUCUAUUACAGCAUACAAAACAAACACCUUGUUCAAUGGACGGCCAUCAUAUCUCGAUGCCUGCACAAAUGUCCUACAAGUCAAAGAAAAAAAGGUAACCAACGUAAAAGAUGACAUGCACAGCUUCACAGACACUUAUCAAGUAAAACGAUCAGACAAUCUUGGGGAUACAAUCUUCGUCAAAGGAGAGGAUGAUGAAAUGUUGGCACCGUCACAACAAGAUGCAGAAUUUCUCAAAAUAAUGCAAAAUGAAAUGUACCAGGAUGAGACAAACAAUUGGGUUGCACCGCUUCCAUUUGUUACACCCAGACAGCGUCUACCAAACAACAGACAACAAGCUUUAAAGAGACUUUACACACUCAAACGUAGUCUUGACAAAAAGCCUGAAACAAGAGAGCACUUUGUACAGUUCAUGCAAAAAAUCUUAAACAACCAGCAAGCAGAAACCGCACCUCCCUUGCAACCUGAGGAAGAGUGCUGGUACCUCCCAAUGUUCGGGGUGUACCACCCUCAAAAACCCCAUCAAAUUCGUGUGGUUUUUGAUUCAAGUGCCAAACAUGAGGGUGUAGCGUUGAAUGAUGUCCUCUUAAGCGGCCCAGAUCUUAACAAUGCGUUACUAGGAGUGCUCAUCAGAUUCCGUAAGGAGCCUAUUGCAGUAACGGCAGAUGUGGAACAAAUGUUCUACUGCUUCAAAGUGCGAGAAGAUCAUCGCAAUUUCCUGCGAUUCCUUUGGCACAAGGACAAUGACGUCGCAAAGGAAAUUAUUGAGUACCGCAUGAAAGUGCAUGUGUUUGGAAAUCGUCCGUCUCCCUCUGUUGCAAUCUACGGAUUACGCAAAGCUGCUGGGGUAGGAGAAACGGAAUAUGGCAAAGAAGCAUCACAGUUUGUUAUCAGAAAUUUUUAUGUGGACGAUGGUCUGGUCUCACUCCCGACAGAACUUGAAGCGAUCACGCUCCUGCAAAACACUCAGAAAAUGUUGGCUGUGUCAAACUUGCACCUACAUAAAUUCGCUUCUAAUAGCAGCAAAGUCAUGGAGGCGUUUCCAACAAGCGACUUGGCAAAAGACAUUAAAAGCCUAAACCUAGACAAUGACCCGUUGCCUGUUCAGAGAAGUUUAGGCAUCAGCUGGAGUCUUGAAUCUGACACUUUCACCUUCCACGUGAGCAAAGAGAAAAAACCCUUCACCAAAAGAGGCAUACUAUCCACUGUCAAUAGUUUGUAUGACCCCUUGGGGUUUGUUUCGCCUAUAACUGUACAGGGAAAAGCACUCAUCCGAGAAUUCACCUUGGAACCAUGCGACUGGGAUGACCCCUUGCCUGCAAACAAAGAGAGAUUGUGGACUGCAUGGAAGGAUUCACUUCUCGAGGUAGAGAACAUACACAUUCCUAGGUCGUAUGUACCACAGUCUAUGUCCUCAACACAGCACAGAGAACUUUGUGUUUUCAGCGAUGCUUCAUCUACAGCAAUAGCAGCAGUUGCUUACAUUCAAGUUAAAAAUGACCAUGGACAGUAUUUCAGUGGAUUUGUCAUGGGAAAAUCCAAACUAGCACCGAGACCAGCGCACACAAUCCCACGUUUAGAACUGUGCGCAGCUGUCCUCGCUGUAGAAAUGGCUGAGCUCAUAUGCCAAGAAAUCGACAUUAAGCUCCAUGAUGUCAGGUUCUACACUGACAGUAAGAUUGUGCUAGGUUACAUCUAUAACAUCUCAAGAAGGUUUUAUGUCUAUGUAUCAAACAGAGUCUCAAGAAUCAGAAAGUCAUCUGUACCAUCGCAGUGGCAUCAUGUUUCAUCGGAAAACAACCCGGCAGACAUUGCCACACGUCCAAUAGCAGCGCUAUUGCUACCACAAACCUACUGGUUCACAGGCCCACCUUUCCUGAACAAAGACCUGUCACAGUUUCCUCCAAUGGAAGAUAACAACAACUUCAAACUAAUCGAACCAGAACAAGAUGUCGAGGUUCGACCGGAAGUUAAUGUCUGUGCUACCCAAGUGAGCUUCAAACAUCUCAGCCCACACCGCUUUGAAAGAUUCUCAUCGUGGAAACAUCUAAUAAGAGGCAUGGCAAAACUCAUUGCAGUCAUCAGAAACAAAUCCAAAACUGCAGACAAAAAAAGUACAAAUCUACAAACUCAAGCAAAACUGUCAGUCAUUGCAAGUGUUCAACAAAAUGCAUUCAAAGAGGAAAUGACAAAGCUUAAAAAAGGAGAGCAUAUCGCAAAAACAAGUCCCUUGUGGAAUUUAAACUCAUUCAUAGACUCAGAAGGACUGUUAAGAGUGGGAGGUCGAACAUCUCUUGCCAAUCUUCCAUAUGAUGAAAAGCACCCACUGAUACUCCCUAAAAGGCAUCAUGUGUCAACUUUGCUUGUGAGAUAUUACCACCAAGAUGUCGCUCAUCAAGGUCGUCACCUCACCGAGGGAGCACUUCGAUCUGCAGGUGUCUGGAUAAUUGGCGCAAGAAAACUUGUCUCAAGUGUCAUUUAUCAAUGUGUCACAUGUCGCAAACUUAGGGGUAAGCCUGCUGAACAGAAAAUGGCCAACUUGCCCGAAGACCGUCUUACAAUGGAGCCUCCUUUCACAAGGGUAGGUCUAGAUGUUUUUGGGCCCUGGACUGUUGUCACCCGCAAAACAAGAGGCGGUAGCGCUGACAGCAAACGUUGGGCAGUUUUGUUCAGCUGUCUGGGCACCCGCGCAGUUCACAUAGAAGUCAUAGAAUCUAUGUCUACAUCAAGUUUUAUUAAUGCAUUACGAGGGUUUUUCGCAGUCAGGGGUCCUGCCAAAGUUUUGAGGUCAGACCGUGGCACUAACUUUAUAGGUGCUUGUAAAGAGUUGAAAAUAAGCACCGAUGACUCUGAGAUUCAAGAUUACUUGAGCAAAGAAGGCUGCACAUGGACUUUCAACACACCUUAUUCAUCGCAUAUGGGAGGCUCAUGGGAAAGAAUGAUAGGCAUCGCCCGUCGCAUUCUUGAUGCCAUGCUAUUGCAAGCAGGUCCUACUCGCCUCACACACGAAGUUCUGACAACGCUCAUGUCAGAAGUUAUGGCUAUCAUGAAUUGCCGACCAUUAGUUCCCAUCACCACGGAUUCAGAGACACCAACAGUUUUGACGCCAUCCAUGCUCCUAACCCAAAAGAAAGGUGCUGCUCCUGCUCCAGAAGGUACGUUCGACAUCAAGGACAUGUACAAAAAGCAAUGGAAGCAUGUUCAAAGUCUUGCAGAUGCCUUUUGGAAACGCUGGAGACAAGAAUAUCUGACAGCUCUUCAAGUAAGAAAGAAAUGGACUCAGGACAAGGACAAUAUCUCAGAAGGAGAUGUCGUCUUAGUUAAAGAUGAACUACUGAAACGCAACGAAUGGCCCAUCGGACUCAUUACAAAGUGCAUCCCAAGCGAAGACAAAAGAAUCCGAAAAGUGGAAGUACGAGUUGUCAAGCAAGGGACUCCGCGUGUCUAUUUGCGACCGAUAAACCAACUGAUUUUGUUACUCCCUCGUCAUAGUGAAACAAAAAAGACUGAUUAAGUUUAUACAUUUAGUGGUAUAAAGUAUUUAUACCAGACGGGGAGUGUGAUGGUUUGUUCAAUUGUAUUUGUCAAAUAAUGACCUCUGGUGGCGGCUUUGGGUGUAGUUGAAUUCCUGCCUUUCUUUUCCUAUGAAGCAGACGUGUCUAACAAUGCUAAAGGACAGCUACGUUCUGGUUCGACCCACAUGAGGCUUUUUACGAAUUCAUCAAGAGUGAGGAAGUAAAGACUUCAAAAUCCACUUUUGCCUCGUUGUGCUGUCUGUCUAGCUAAACAGGCUCACGUUUAGUGAGGACAGAACACUUUUCAUUGCCUCAAAAAUACUUUUUGCAUGUAUUACCCUCUCAUACUUUUAACCAUUGUGGUUUUUUGUGUUAGCUUUGAAGCAGUUGACCACAUUAGUCACGUAGCGUAUUUAAACCGUCCUUAUUUGGUAUAACUGCAUUUACUUAUUUUCUGAUGGUAUUUUUAGUACGUUCUGCCUGUAUGCAUCCAAACAAAACAAGUUUAGCACGCACGGUAGUACUUUGGGUGUCAAAUUCGACUAAUGUAGCACGUUUCGCCGAUGUAGCAGAUUUUGGCAGAACACCGUCUUUUAACAGAUGAGGCAUAGUGGUCCUGUGCUGCCGCCAGGUAAAAUGAACAAAAAUGUGUUGGUCUACUCCUCCUUAAACACUCCGUUUUCUGCAUCAAUCUUGCGUAGUUUUGAGCACGGCAUUUGCUGUACCUUUUCGCCUCUUCCUCCAACUUCAUUCGGCUCAGUUUUUGGCUGUCACUCCGCGGAGUCUGGAAAGCGAGUGUGAGACAUGCUGUUCUAAAAAUAACUUUCAAAUGCUUCACUCCCAUUGGCUGGCUCACGCGUGUCACCGCUAAGGUUUUUGUUUGUUGCCCACCUCCGCUCUGCAAACCCGCAGAAAAAAAUGAUUUUUGUUGUUGCAACAUGUAUUAGUCCGGACAACUUGAGAUCCGGUCCAGACGGCUUGGAGGUCCGGAACCGGACCGAGGUCCGCGGUUCUAUGACCUCUGAUAAAGACAGUUAUUGAUAUGCAGUGCUAAACAGAAGCGUUUUUAGCCCUGAUUUAAAGGAGCUAACAGUUUGAGCAUACUUCAGACGUUCAGGUAACUUGUUCCAGAGGUGAGGAGGAGACCGUGCAGGAGACCGGUUGCAGACGACCUUAGGGGUCUAGAUGUCUCAUAGGAAUCUAACAAUCUAACCAAGGUCAUUAAGUGUUUUGUAGAUGAGCAGUAGUAUUUUAUAGUCUAUCCUUUGACUUACUGGAAGCCAGUGUAAUGUGGUCCAUCGUCCAUGUAUUUGUGAGGACUCUGGCUGCAGCAUUCUCUACUAGCUGCAGCUUCCUGACUGAUUUUUUAUCAAGACCCGUAAAUAUCCCGUUGCAAUAGUCCAAUCUGCUGAAGAAUAAAGUGUACUUGCACAUCCACUCAGUGGGUGGCAGUGGCGCUCUCAUUUUCAGAGUGCGUGCAGUAUUUUUUUACCUAGGCAAGACCACACAGAAAACGGAUAUGAAGAGCUGUGCGCCGUUUUCAAAAGCCGUUUGCCGGCCGGACUCACACAGCAACCCACUGUUUACUCCAGUUCUCACGUGUCCGCCCGAGAAGUGCCAUUUUCGGCUAGGGAUCGUCAAGAUGACUGCCCUCACCUACGGUUCUCCCUUGGCCGCCGAGAAUGCGUUUUUUUUUCGGGCCGUUUGCCUUUUGGUUUUGACUUUUAAUACAGUGGGAGAUGAGGAAAGACCACUGUUUACUGUGUCUAAAAAUGAUUAUAGCGGACAGCCGGAAGCCAAAUCAAUUUAGACGCCACUUAAAGACAUUAGACCUCAAUCUCAUUGAUAAGCCGCUUGAUUGUUUUUCAGCGAAAACGUGCCGAAUUUUGCCAACAAUCGUCCCGCUUUGUCAGUGUUAUAUCAGUAAACCACUGAGCACUGUUAGCAUGCUCAGUGAAAAUAACCCCACACCAUUGCAAAGGAAGUGAAACUGUGAGCAGCGAAAAUAAAAACUGUCCUUCUGUCCAAAGACACUUUUUUUUUUUUUCUUCUAUUCAGUUUUGUUUUUUCAGCCAAAUAUUUUGGCAUAUUGUCCUCAUUAGUUAAUGUUUUUAAUCAAUUUGAAUUUGUUAGUAUUUACUUAUUUUGUUACAUUUUAUCUUUCAGUAUCAAAUGGUCAAAAAUGUACCUUGAGUGUAUUUUUACAGUUUGGAUGUGACUUUUUUUUUUUUUAAUUCAGGCAAAUUGAUGCGUGUUAAGUCUUCUGUUACAAACAAAACAAUGUUAAUAAAGUUAUACUUUAUUAUAAGGAUCUAUGUUACUUUUUUUCUUUAAUAGAAAAAAAGGACACAAUGUUUGGCAGAGGCGUACUUAUAGUAAUAUUAUAGACAAAUGAUACU